GCCAGCAGCCAUACUACCUGCAGUUCAGACUAGGUUGUCCACCUGAAGCUAAGCAGCUUUGGGCCUACCCAGCACUUGGAUGGGAGACCAACCAGGAAAGCUGGGUUGUUGCUGGGA
rnacentral:rRNA from 1 species